rnacentral:tRNA from 1 species
GGUGGCAUAGUGGUUAAGCGCUCAGCUGCUAACUGAAAGGUUGAUGGUUCAAAUCCACCAGCCA